rnacentral:rRNA from 1 species
AGUGAACGCUGGCGGUAGGCCUAACACAUGCAAGUCGAACGGCAGCACAGUAAGAGCUUGCUCUUACGGGUGGCGAGUGGCGGACGGGUGAGGAAUACAUCGGAAUCUACUUUUUCGUGGGGGAUAACGUAGGGAAACUUACGCUAAUACCGCAUACGACCUACGGGUGAAAGCAGGGGAUCUUCGGACCUUGCGCGACUGAAUGAGCCGAUGUCGGAUUAGCUAGUUGGCGGGGUAAAGGCCCACCAAGGCGACGAUCCGUAGCUGGUCUGAGAGGAUGAUCAGCCACCCUGGAACUGAGACACGGUCCAGACUCCUACGGGAGGCAGCAGUGGGGAAUAUUGGACAAUGGGCGCAAGCCUGAUCCAGCCAUACCGCGUGGGUGAAGAAGGCCUUCGGGUUGUAAAGCCCUUUUGUUGGGAAAGAAAAGCAGCAGGUUAAUACCCCGCUGUUCUGACGGUACCCAAAGAAUAAGCACCGGCUAACUUCGUG